CCAUGCUUGCAUGACAAGAGCAGAAUACCAGUGCGUGUUUAGAAAGAAGUCUUUCCAGGAGAAAAAUUGGUUCUUAGUGGGCAGAAACAGAUGUGGAUGACUUUGAAAACUGGCAAAGGGACAGUGAAUUGGACUCUGCAACAGGAAUGGGAUGCAGAACAGUGCAACAGAGUGUCCUGCAGCAAAACGAGACGGACCUUCAUGCAGUGUCAGCUCCAGCACUGGUGAGGACUGUUUGCAUUCAGAGAAGCAAUAUUCAACAUUUGGUGUUUCAAUACCUGAAGUUGUGACCACUGAAAACUUGGAGGAGCUGCUUCACUGAGCACGGAGCUCGUGACGAGAGGCCUGAAAGCAGGAAUUCAGAGCUCCUACUAACAAAUGGAAAAGAAACUUUGGAGUGCGGACCUAAGUAAUAGAAUCAUCAAAUCAUUUAGUUUGGAAAAGACCACUGAGAUCAUCUAGUCCAACCAUCAACCCAUCCCCACCAUGGCCACUAACCAUGUCCCUCAGUGCUACAUCUACACAUUCCUUGAACACCUCCAGGAAGUGACUUCACCACCUCCCUGGGCAGCCUGUGCCAAUGCAUCACCACUCCUGAGAAGAAAAUUUUCAUAAUAUCCAACCUGAACCUCCCCUGGCACAAUGUAAGGCCAUUCUGUCUUGACUUAUCGCUGUAACCUGGGAGAAGAGGCUGACCCUCACCCCAUCACAACCUCCCUUCAGGAAGUUGUAGAGAGUAAUAAUGUCUCUCCUGAGACUCAAGUCAUGGGUAGGACAACCCAACCUACAAAGAUAAAAGUGAACAUCACAAUUAUUUACCAUAUUUACAAUGACUUUAGACAGAAAUCUGAGUCAAAUCAACCCAUGGAAUUGCUUUGCUUCUAAAACUUAAUAUACAUUACAGUUAAACCACAAUAGUAAAAUCCCCACUAAACAUGAGGAAAGGGAAAUGGCAAGCUGACUGCAGUAAGAUGUAAAAGCUUGUCUGAACUCAGAUGUGCCCUAUGUGGUUCCUGGACACAGGGCAGUUUCCAUGAAAUGCCCCACAUCUGACCCUUGGACAAAAUGUCACCUCAUCUAAUCUGCCUGGUGGGACCAAGCCCAGACUGUGCUAACCCCCUAGAUGUGCCUAAAGAUGGGUUGAGAGAAGAACUCUGAGUGCCUGUAUCUAGGAACACUCCUUCAAAGUGUUUAAUUUCCUAGAAUUGUAAAGUCAUUUGAGCUGGAAGGGACCCUUAAAGACCAUCUAUUCCAAGUCCCCUGCAAUGAACAGGGACACUUACAGCUAGAUCAGGUGCUCAGAGCCCCAUCCAGCCUGACCUUGAAUGUCUCCAGAGACAGAGCAUCCAUCACCUCUCCAGGCAACUUUUGCCACUGCCUCGCCACUCUUGUUAUAAGAAAACUUUUUCCUUAUAUCCAAUCGAAACCUCCCCUCUUCUAGUUUGAAACCAUUUCCCUUUGUUCUGUCACAGCAGACCCUGCUAAAGAGUCUGUCCCCUUCUUUCUUACAGAUCCCCUUUAGAUAUUGAAAGGCCACUCUCAAAUAUCCACAAAGAGAGGGGAAACUUUCUCCUCUCCAGGCUGAACAGCCCCAGCUCUCUCGGUCUGUCCUCAUAGGAGAGGUGUUCCAUCUCCAGGAUCACUGUUGUGGCCAUCCUCUGGAUGUGCUCCAACAGGUCUGUGUCUCUCUUGUACUGUGGACUGCACAUCUGGAUGCAGUACUCCAGGUGAAGUCUUACCAACACAGAGCAGAGAGGAAAAUUUCUAGUCUUCACAUAUUGUAAGUAUUAAUAAGGGAAUUUCCUAGUAUUAGCACAACAAAAGAGGAAAUAUUAAAAUAAUAGCUGAUUAUGUGUGUGUAUGGGUAAUGCAGUCAUGAAAAACCCUUCAAGUCUAACGUUUUGUUGUCUCUCUAAGUACAUGCUCUUGAUUUUUGCAGUCAUUCGCUUUAACUACAGUCACAAGAACCUAGAACAGAGAGAAUGAAGUUCUGGACAGCAAAUAAGGAAGUAUUUGUAGUGAGUGUUGGCAGAACUGACACCACACCAGGUCACAGCCAUGUAUUACAGUCCAGCAUCCCUGGGGCAAGACUCCAACAGCAAACUGGAAAGAUGCAGAUAGUUCAGCUUCCUGAAGCUGGCCCCAGUCCCACCACUCCCUGAACCCUGUCCAGCCCAGCUUCUGCCUAUGCUGCUACCCCUGGGGCCCAUCCAUCAGCAGGUUGUGUCCUCAUCACCCACCUCCUGCCUCCAGCUGCCCUCCUGCUGCCCCUCCCUCGCCAUGAGUCACAUCCUUCCUUCCUCCGCCUCUGUUUUCCCUCUGGCCUCAGCCCCAAUCUAUUUGAGCCAAUAUCCUUUCCUCCACCAUCAAUGAGCUUCAGCCUUCUUGGCAUUCUUUUCCUCUCCUUCUCUUUCCUUUGCCUCUUGAGGGGCUCGCACUGCAGAGCAGUCCAUUCUGGCUGUGCGUCCCGGCCCCAGCCCUGAGCCACACAGUGGUCAGUGCCCUCCCUGUCAUCAGGGCAGCUGGAGUGGGACCAGAGGAAGGAGAAUGCUUGGCAACCAUGCUGAGAAAAUGGAAGUCCCCACCCAACAAGAACAAACCUCUCCUCUCUCCCGCUGGUGUUUAGAAAUGGGAAAAAUUUGGACAGAUGUUCACGGGGCAGAAAAAGUGCAGCUCAGAAGCAGAAUGUUUUGUCAAAGGCUUGUUUCUCCAAGUCUUGCUCUCUGCAGUGCUAGAAAUGUUUGGGCAGCAAUGUUCAAAACAGACAGCAGCAGUAACAAAUGCUGCCUGAAGCAAAAAUCCAGCAUAGAAAUUUUUCUUAACUGAAUGGGCACAAUUCUACAAGAGCCUGAAAAACAGCAUGUAUGGGACUGUCAGCACUCAUUCCAUACAGAAGCACUCUCAUAAUAUAGGUAACAUGGGUGACCAGAGCCUAUCCAAUUUAAUGCUGAAUAGAUUAGCUGUUUCAAUACCACAUUUGAAAUGUUUAUACAAAUGCUGGGCUCUCACAUAAUAAAGUGGUUGUAUAUUUUUUUCCUUUUAAGCUGAUUCUUCCAUACCGAUGCUGUACCAUAGCCUAAAGUAAUUUAAAUGAUUGACUAGCAGAAUGUGCUAAUAGCUUUGAUUAGCUUCAUUUAUUUGCAUAUAAUUAUUUGCUAAUUUCUCUGCAGUAAUUAGAACUGUGGCACAUUGCUGACAUGACUUUUUUUAAACAAGAAUGCUUUCAGUAAUAUUCCAACCUGUUUUAUGAUUCCCGACCGAUGCCUUCCAUAAAGAAAUCAGUGUCAGGAAAGAUGUUUCUGAAACAAAUACACAACUCUUGAUUUUGAGCAGUCACUGAGCAGUCAUAGCAGGUUGUGCUGUGGCUGUAUAUGUUAAAAAUCCAGAAGACCAGGAAAUACUAAAGUGACCCAAAGUUCUGCACAAAGUCCCAAAUAGUUUGGAAGAAAACACUGGUAGAAAAUAAUGCAAUACUGUAAUAAAUGUAUUUCAGUUGAUAAUUCCAUUUGUGGUAUUUAGGUGCAUCUACUCAAGUUAGUAAAUUACUAAUUAUGCAUACUGCAUUUUUUCUUACCAACUUUGGAGGCUACUUAGUGUAUUUUCUUAUCUCUUGUUAACAUCAGGUUAAUGUAGAAUUCUAAACCCAGUUCAUAGAAUCAUAGAAUCCUUAGAGUUGGAAGGGACAUCUGAAGGCCAUCUAGUUCAGCUCCCCUACAAUGAACAGGGACACCACAAUUAGAUCAGGUUGUCAACCUUGCCUUCAAAGUCUCCAGGGAUGGGGCAUCAGUCAUAACUCUGGGCAACCUGUUCCAGUGCCUCACCACUCUCACUGUAAAAUACUUUUUCCUUAUAUCUAACCUAAAUCUGCCCUCUUUGAGCUUUAAGCCGUUUCCCCUUGUUCUAUUAUCAAAAACUGCUAAAGAAUCUGUCCUUUCUGUAGCUCCCCUGUAGGUACUGAAAGGCCGCUGUCAGGUCACCUUACAGCCUUCUCUUCUCCAGGCUGCGCAGCCCCAGCUUUCCCAGCCUGUCCUUGCAGGGGAGGUUUUCCACCCCUGGGAUCAUUUUUGUGCCCCUCCUCUGGACGCUCUCCAACAGGUCCACAUCUCUCCUGUACUGAGGACUCCACAUCUGGACACAGUACUGCAGGUGAGGUCUCACAGCACAGUAGAAUGGUAGGAUCACCUCCCUCACCCAGCUGGCCACCAGUUUGUGCCUGUGUUCCUGCAAGACAGAAGGAUAAAAGUCAAGGGCAAAGAAACUCUCUUCUGGAAAUCAUGACUGGACAAACAUAAACUUUCCUGGAUGCUUUGCCAGCUACCUGACAAUUUUAAAUAGAAGACUGAACAGGUGAAGAAACCAAUCAAAGUCAGCACUAAUGCUGCUGCCUAAACAGUUUAGCUGUCUUUGCUCCAUUUCUCCCACAGCUAUUGCUGACUGUGACUAUAGAUAAGUUGGCAAGGAUGGAGGUCACCAAAACAAGAAAUGCCUUCAUAAUUAAGGGCUCAAUAUGCUUCACAAAUACACCUUCUUCUGCACCUGCUGCCAAAGAGCUGUGGAUCUGUGAUAUCUUGUAAAAAUAAAUUAAGAAACCUGAAAGGCUCUCCUUGUAAUCUAAAUGUGGAAAUGAAGAUGUAGAAUGAGGAUGAAACUCCUAAUUACUCUCCCCAAGCUCAUACUUGCAGCAUAAUCAAAUCUGUCUACCGGGGCAAUCUGCACUUAAUCAAUUGAAGUGUGAUACAACCUUGCUCUUCACGAUACUGUGAAGCUAGGACUAAAAAAAGCCCUGUCAUUGUUAUGAGUGUAUUUUCAAGGCACAGAAUUAGCGAGCUCUGCUCUCCAAAAUGAGCCCCUCAACAUUUAAUUAACUGUAGUACAUGGAAAACAUUUGUUGUGGUUUGUGUCCAGCUAACAGCUGAUCCUGCCAACAACCAGGACUACACUGUCCUGAGAGCAGUCUGCCAUUGGGAUUCCUUGUUCCAACACACUUAUUUCUUGGUGAGAUGUGAAGUUCUCUAUUUGUUUUAAUGCAAACAGUGAGUUAUUCAGUAAGGAAGCAAAGCACUUUACAUUCUUGCCAUGUCUCAAAGCCUGAAGAAAAAACCCACUUUUUUCCCACUCUGUAAUUGAGGAUUUUCAUGAUAGCCGAGCUGAAAACCUAUGUAUAGUAUCAGUCUAUGCUUCAAGGCUUUGGACAAGUUUUGGCCUUUGGUUUGUUUGGACAAGUAGCAGAAUUCAGUUGGAUUUGUACUUAAAUGGCAAGGCAGCUCCUCUCAAUGUCACAUUGGGAAUUGGAGGCUUGAGAAGCAGGCUUUUCCCCAACGAUUCUCUUGCAUUUUAAUUACAGGGAUGUGAAAAAACAUCUGUCUGGGAUUUUAUGACUUCUGUUUCCAACUGAAAUUGGAAAAUGCAAGGACACACAAGAGGAGAAGAAGAUUUCAGCCUUCUGAACCUGUAGCUUUCUGGUUAGAAAUUUAAGUAACAAUUCUGUAUUUGCUCUUGUUCCAAUCAGAUGUGUUUAAUUCUGCCCUCAAAACUGUGACUCCUAUUCCCAUUUCCAAUCAACAUUUGAAAUGGUAGAAAUAUCAGCAGAAAACAGUCUGUUUGGCAGAUCUCAUGGAAGGCAAAGUCUGUCAGAUGAGUUAUCUUCUGCUUUCCAGUUUGGAUAAUUGCUUGCACCUGUGCAAACUGAGGGUCCCAGCCCCUGUCCUGCUGCUGCAAUGUGCCUUGUGCAGCAGAAGUGUGCAUGGCUGGAUAAAAGGUAAGGGAGAGCAUUUGGCCUAAUGGCUGUGUUUCUGCUGAAAACAAAAUCUGUCAAAUGGUAAAGACAAAAUGCUGCACUGAAAAAACCUUCACAUUUUCUGCAGCUGUUUAUUGGGAGGUCUGUUUUGUAAAGAAGGGAAGGCCAACUUUAUGCCACAGCAUGAGCGAACAAACGACACAUUUUGCUUUCUAGUUCUAGCACAGCCUGUGCUCUCAUAAAAAAUAUUCUACCAGUAAGCAAAAACGUGAACAACAAAGAUGCAAUAACUUUUCUCACUCCUAUUUUGUCCUCUCACCUUCUGUCAACAUCCAGAGAAGUGGAACAUUCUCCGUAAUUUAAAAAAAUAAUACAUUUCCCUGUGUGCCUCCUUCCAUUGAACAGGAGGACAUCAGAGGAGCUCAGCUGUCUCCUUGAAUUUGUCAGCAAAUUAAGGACAUCAGUAUUAUGAAAAUGUCCAAACUCAAUGAAAAGUUAAUUAGCAUUCUGAGGAGUCACUUCAAUUAAGGGGAACUUGUUUUGUUGGCCUCACUAGAGAAAUGUGGACUAAGACAGGAAUAUAAAUGUGACAAUAUUUUAUAAUGAUUUAAUGUGACAAUCUCCCUAUUUGCAAAUAGCCCAGCAGAGUCACAGUUUAACAUCAAUUCAUAAAAAGCAAGUUCAAAAACAAGUCAUAACAAUUUACAGGAUGUUUUUCAAUUAUCUGACGAAGGACACAUGGAGAUUUCUUACAUGAUUUCAUUUUUCUAUGUGACUCCAUGCAUUACAUUGUUCUAAACAAUUUGUUGUUUGAAUUUUUCAAUUCCUGUUUGGUAUGUUUGCUGAAGUCUACCAAGAAGCUCCAGCAAAGUUUCCAUUGCCUUCCAAACCUCUCCAGGUGGGCUUUCAAUUUCCCACUGAUGGGAUAAACAUGCUGAGUAUUUUCAGCUGGGUCUCAGACAAAACCAACCAAAAUCAAGUCCUUAAGGCUCUGAUUCUCAGAGCACUUAAUACUAAUAACUGCACCUGAACCUGGUUGUAGUUGUUGGGGGUAGUAUCCCUAUAAACUUGAAAAGUACCCUCUUCUUGGUGAGGUUGGUGCUUGGAUCCAUGGAGCUGUUUGGAGAAGUGAGGUAUGGUGCUUAUUUUUGUGGAGGGAGAGCAGACAGAGCCUGCUCCAUCAAACACUGUAGAGAAAAAGCAGUAAAUAUAAAAUGAAGUUAGGGAUGACUUGCAGCUCUUGAUUUUCUUUUGGGGAUAAGACUUUGGGAAGUAAAUUUUAGUGAUGUUUCUGGAGGUUUCUAGAGACUACUUCCUUUUUGUUUUUAAAUUCAGUUUUCAUCAGCAUCUGUAACGAAAAGUUUGGAGCUCUUUGCCAAGUUUCAGUAUAGCUUUGUCUAAGUAACAGCAAGUACCUGAGAACUUUCAGGAUUUUUCAGAACUUUUUCAAACUUCUCUGAGACCUUCCUUUAUCAGUUUAUCUAUCCUUUGUCUAUCCUUUAUAUGAUAGAGACUGGUGACUGAAUGUCUCUCACCACUACGAAAUCCCAGGCUUGUCCUUGGACUUGCGUACUUCUGCUAUGUGAUAUACUCAUUUACAGGCACCUUGCUUGUUUCUUCCAGCUAGGGCUCCAAAAAAAAGGAGCAGGACUCAGUUACAUCCGUAUCAUCAAACAGUGCAACCCAAAGCCAGAGGAAGCAAAGUGAAGUUCAAACUCUGACCUCUGUGUUUGUCAAUCUGUAGUUAUGGCAAACUGACAAACUAAGGCUUAAACCGCCAUGUUGGUGUUUGUUGCACUUGAAAAUUAGAAGUGAUGUAUCUGGCAGGAAUAACAUUUGCCAAUGGCAUCCCAAUACAACUGGCUAUCGCUAGCUGCCAUGAUGGCACGUGGAUCUCCUGCUGGCAGUUGGACUUAUUGCUAAAGAACUGCUCCUGUGUUAGUUUUUUGGUAGCUCGUCUUCAUUUAUUUCUUCCAUAGCUGAUCAUUUUCAUAGAUUAGUGAGGCUCCAUGAUCACUAUCUGUAGUGAGCUCCUUACCAGAUAUGUUUACUUUGCUAAAAUAAGACAGUAUUUUAUUAGCUGUUGAUCUUAGAAGCUGGAGUGUCCUGAUUAAACACAUGAGAAAGGCUGUACAGGGUUAGGCUAAACAGUCAUUUACUCCAUUAUCUUCUCUCUGAUAACAGCUGACAAGGGGAGUACAGAGCCGGGGCAGCCAUAAAGCACUUCCUCAGCAUAAUGUCCCAGCUUCUGGUGACCCGUCAUUCCUGGCCUACAGAAUCUGUCAUCUUAUUUAAUAGAGCUGGAUGGAUUUUUUCCUACUCUAAUUUGCUUAAUCACUUUGUGAAACCUGGGAAACUCUAGUGAAAAUCUCUGGAAAGACACUUCACGGCUGACUAUGUAUUAUUUCUACCGCUCAUUUUGAAUUUGCCAUCGACUUUGUCUGGCCCUUCUCGUUCUUCUAUUAGAAAAUAUGAUGAAUGCAACAUCCCUAUUUGUGUUCCCUGUACACUCAUGGUUUCAUACACCUUUCUUAUGGUCUCAGUCAGUCAUCUCUCUUCAGACUGAAAAAACCUAAUCUAUUUAGGCAUUUCUGAUGCAGAUGCCAUUUGAUACCUUUGUCAUCCUGAUCCUCCAUCUCUGAACCCUUUCUUCGGACCUGCUAUACACUGAAGAGAUUAGUGUGCCAGAACUGUCCAUAGUAUUCAAGGUGUGGGUGCCUCACAUCUGUACAGAGCGGAUGCUAUCCUCUCCCUUCUUCUCUUUUCCCUUCCUAAUAAUUUCUAGUGUUCAAUUUGCUUGUUUUUAUUAUUCCUGAGCAUUGAGCUGACACUUUCACAUAGAUCAUCUAUUAUAUUUUCAAGAUCUUAUUCCCGAAUUAUAACGAUAAUUCGGAGACUGUCACUGCAUAUGUAAAAGUAGGAUUGUUUUUCCUCACGCUUGCUAAUUUACAUUUAUCCGCUUUGAAUGCAAUUUGCCUCUUAACCAAACAGUUAAUCUGUAUCAUACAGGUUGUUUUUGUUCUUUUUUUUUUUUUUUUUUGUUGCAGCACCUAAAUUUUUAUCAACAGGAAACACUGUCAUCUCCUCGUUCACCUCUUUUUCUGGGUAAUUCAGAAGUGAGCUGAAUGGGACAGAUCCAGUCAGAUUCCACUGGUGUCCUCAGUACACUGAGAAAAUUGGCUGUCUAUGCCUGUUCUUCAUUUCACAAGUCUUAACCUUUUUUUCUUUCUUUCUUUCUUUUUUUUGGUCCAUGGAAGGAGUUCCUCCCCUAUUCUGUCACAGCACAGUUUUUCAAAGAGCUUUUGGUGACAUAUAUUGUCAAAUGCCUUUCAGAAAUCCCAAGAGAUUCAAUUUGAAUUAGUUUGUGCCCAAUGGGUUAGGAGUUGUUUGUUCAUUGUCUCUUCUGUGUGUGAUAUAGGAGAUGUUGAAGGACACUGCUGGAAAACACAGAACAAAAAGCAAGGUGAUUCUUCAUGCACUGUCUGUUUAAGGUUCAGAAUUCAUUGCCACACAAAACUUGGACAGUGUAAGUUUUUGUGGGUUCAAGAGGCAGACUGGGUAAGUUCACAGAUGACAAAUCCAUUGUGGGUUACUAAAUGCAUCAAAGUUAAGUUUGUCUGAGGGAUUUCUGGAAGUCAGAAUGAUUGUGGCCCCAAGAAUUUUCACUAGACUUACUGCUUACAUCUUCCCAGGUCUUUUCCUCUUCCUUAGGCAUUUGCUUUUGGAGAUAAGGCUAUGGGCCAUUAGCAGCUCCAGCACAGACUUUCUUUUUUUCCCUUGUGCCCAGGUUCUUAACUGGGUCUCUUCUCAGAUUCCUUCAAAUUCUUCUGCCUGGUUUUCAAGGUGUACCUUCCCUUUUUGAAUGCUGCUUCUCUGGAGUACUACACUUUCCCCAGCAUUCAUUUAUUUAGUUUCUACCAAUUAUUCAGUAAAGCUGUGAAAGCUCCUAGGUGGUAGCUAUCCAGAUAGCACCUUUCAACUUUUAAAAACUUGUCAUCACAUUUGCCAUUUUCCACCUCUGUAGUGCCAUUGCAGCCCUAAAUGCUUUUGCAGCUUCCUUUAAUAGGUCAGCUUUCAAAUCACCUGGGUCUGGCAAUUUGUUACCUUAAUUUUUACAAUUCCUGCUAUGGAUUUUUCUAAUGAGCUCGCUCUGAGAUAGCUCCUCUGACACAUUGCCUCUGAUGUAUGAAGAAGGGUUCUAGCCUAGAAUUUUCCCUGAACUCCUUCAAGGCUGCAAAAAAAAAUAAUUUAAUUUUCCUCCUCUGCUUUAUCUUCUCUGAGAGCUCCUUUUGUACUUUGAUCAAUUAAUGGGCCUACAAACUCUAUAGCUUCCUGCUCCUGAUGUGUUUGAAGGAAUGAUUAAUUAUGAGGUUGUUACGGCUUCUGAAAACUGUUCUUCAAACUCUUUUCUGCUGGCCUGAACCCAGAAACAGGAGAGCUUUGCUAAAGGCAUUCAUUUUGAUGUCUCCCUCUUUAAUAUUUUUUUAUUUCAGGAAAGAAAAGAAUUCUUAUUGGUUUUCACAAUCAUGCACACAUACAGACUCGCAACGGAAUAUAGUUUUACACAAAAUUUGUUACUCUUUUGGUCAUGCAUACACGUACUACAGCAGCUAUGCAGCAUCACCUGCUUUCCUCUGUAACAGUGCUUUACAUUUUCUGUAUA
ensembl:lncRNA